rnacentral:rRNA from 1 species
UGGGGAAUAUUGGACAAUGGGCGCAAGCCUGAUCCAGCCAUGCCGCGUGAGUGAUGAAGGCCCUAGGGUUGUAAAGCUCUUUCACCGGUGAAGAUAAUGACGGUAACCGGAGAAGAAGCCCCGGCUAACUUCGUGCCAGCAGCCGCGGUAAUACGAAGGGGGCUAGCGUUGUUCGGAUUUACUGGGCGUAAAGCGCACGUAGGCGGACUAUUAAGUCAGGGGUGAAAUCCCGGGGCUCAACCCCGGAACUGCCUUUGAUACUGGUAGUCUUGAGUUCGAGAGGGGUGAGUGGAAUUCCGAGUGUAGAGGUGAAAUUCGUAGAUAUUCGGAGGAACACCAGUGGCGAAGGCGGCUCACUGGCUCGAUACUGACGCUGGGGUGCGAAAGCGUGGGGAGCAAACAGG